AUUGAGCGCUGGCGGCAGGCCUAACACAUGCAAGUCGAGCGAAAGAGUGUGCUUGCACACUCGAAAGCGGCGGACGGGUGAGUAAUGCGUGGGAAUCUGCCUGUAGAUGGGGGAUAGCCCGGAGAAAUCCGGAUUAAUACCGCAUAAUACCUGAGGGUUAAAGUGGAGGAUCGCAAGACUUCACGUCUACAGAUGAGCCCACGUCAGAUUAGCUAGUUGGUGAGGUAAUGGCUCACCAAGGCGACGAUCCCUAGCUGGUCUGAGAGGAUGAUCAGCCACACUGGAACUGAGACACGGUCCAGACUCCUACGGGAGGCAGCAGUGGGGAAUUUUGGACAAUGGGCGCAAGCCUGAUCCAGCAAUGCCGCGUGCAGGAAGAAGGCCUUCGGGUUGUAAACUGCUUUUGUACGGAACGAAACGGUCCGGGUUAAUACCCUGGGCUAAUGACGGUACCGUAAGAAUAAGCACCGGCUAACUACGUGCCAGCAGCCGCCGUAACAC
rnacentral:rRNA from 1 species